UUCGGGGUGCUCGAGUGGCGAACGGGUGAGUAACACGUGGGUGAUCUGCCCUGCACUUUGGGAUAAGCCUGGGAAACUGGGUCUAAUACCGAAUAGGACUCCGGCCUUCAUGGGUUGGGGUGGAAAGCUUUUGCGGUGUGGGAUGGGCCCGCGGCCUAUCAGCUUGUUGGUGGGGUAAUGGCCUACCAAGGCGACGACGGGUAGCCGGCCUGAGAGGGUGACCGGCCACACUGGGACUGAGAUACGGCCCAGACUCCUACGGGAGGCAGCAGUGGGGAAUAUUGCACAAUGGGCGCAAGCCUGAUGCAGCGACGCCGCGUGAGGGAUGACGGCCUUCGGGUUGUAAACCUCUUUCAGCACAGACGAAGCGCAAGUGACGGUAUGUGCAGAAGAAGGACCGGCCAACUACGUGCCAGCAGCCGCGGUAAUACGUAGGGUCCGAGCGUUGUCCGGAAUUACUGGGCGUAAAGAGCUCGUAGGUGGUUUGUCGCGUUGUUCGUGAAAACUCACAGCUUAACUGUGGGCGUGCGGGCGAUACGGGCAGACUGGAGUACUGCAGGGGAGACUGGAAUUCCUGGUGUAGCGGUGGAAUGCGCAGAUAUCAGGAGGAACACCGGUGGCGAAGGCGGGUCUCUGGGCAGUAACUGACGCUGAGGAGCGAAAGCGUGGGGAGCGAACAGGAUUAGAUACCCUGGUAGUCCACGCCGUAAACGGUGGGUACUAGGUGUGGGUUUCCUUCCUUGGGAUCCGUGCCGUAGCUAACGCA
rnacentral:rRNA from 1 species